UGUCUAGAUGUCUUAGUUCCAAAAGGAGGGAUGCUUCCACUGGGAGACACACCAGUUAUUCCACUUAACCGGAAGUAGUAACUGUUGCCUGACCCAUUGGGAUUCCUCACACCUCUGAAUCAAUAGGCAAAGAAGGGAGUUACUUCAUCAGCUAGAAUUAUGAAGCCUGACUACCACAUGAAAAUAGGACUACUGAUGAACAAUACAGUGCAAGGAAAGCAAGAUUUAAAAUUUUGGAUCAAUGGUGAACCUGAUGCAAUUAAGAAGCUGCCAGUGGCUCCCUGGAGAACCUGAAAUAUUAAGAAUAUACAGGUGAAUCCAAAGCAACAAUAGGAUUUUGCCAAGUCUCUGUGAUACUGCAA